GAGUAGAAUGGACUCUAACAGUCAUAACUAAGACUUCCGGCAACCAAAAAUCCCUUGACAAUGAGGGUAUAAAAAGGGACCAAGGUUUAUUUUUUGUCAAAAGAAACUUGUUUCUUCCUUUUCCCCUUUUCUCUCAACUACUACAGUAUGCAAGGAGGUCUUUGAGGAGAUUUCCUUGACUUUUCAAGGAUUUGAAGGUGGAUUCUUCCAUUUAGAAGUUGGGGGAACGGAUUCAAGCUUUAGGUCUUUGGUUCUCUCACUUCCAAGCUCCAAGAAAAGAAGUAACUUUCUUUUCUUCUUGAUCUAAUAGGAAGAUCCAAGCAUGUUGAUGAGGAAUUUGGUUUUUAUAACUUCAAUUUUAUGUGAAGUUGUGGCUAAGAUGAUUUUGGGAAAUUUAUGCAUGUUAAGAUGCAGGUGUGCAGGAGCAGAAGAGUCUUAGGAGUUUGAGCAGUAGGAGUAGCUGUAGAGUGUUUACAUUUAUAUUAUAUGUUUGGGGGACAUGUGAUAUGUAAAGAAAUAGUUACUAUGUUGGUAUUCAAGUUAUGAUAGAUGUUGUAUCUUAAGUAUGAGUGAUGUAAUUAUGAAAGGUUGAAAUCUAAGUUAACUCUUUGUGUGAAAAUGUAUGUAUGAACUAAUUGUAUUUUGGUGAUUUAUGUAUGUAGAGGUUCAAAUUCUAAGCCAAUUUUAUGUUCAUUAUGAAUGAUAAAACUAAAGUGUAAUAGUUUAGAGUAUGCUUGGAAUGUGAGAUACAUGGAUAUGUUUAUAUUUAA